UGUGCGUGUGUUAAGUCACUACAAGUCAAGUUAAUGUAAUUUCUCCGGCCUUGGAGAGGUUUAUAAUCUGUACAAAGCAGUUUGCAGCAGCCUCCAUCCUCAGAGACCUGGAUGAGAAAACUUCAGAGCAGUAGCUCCUGGAAUGAAUCACUCGUAUGUGAGCGGACUGUGAGAGGCUGAGGAGGGAAUGAGAUGCAGAGGUACCAUGAUGCAUCUUGAUGGAGGGGCUUUAAAGACCUGCAGUCCCCUUUGAUAGUGCACUAGCGUCACAUGAAUUCAGGCAGAGAGGAAGAGCGUGCAGCUGGUCUUACCGUCUGGAGGUCGGGUGGAGCAGCAGGGAGAUGGAGCUUUGCAGAUGGAGGUUUCACACGUUUCCCCUGAAGCAAGGUGUGUCAGUGGGUUAAAUCUGAUCCUCCUUCAUCGGCUGCUGGCAGUGAGAGCUGAUCCCAGUGUUUCUAUGAAGCGAUGGACGUCGCUGAAGGAGUUGUAGAGCGGCACCGGAGCGAUUCUGAGCACGCUGGGCUCCCUCAUGUCACACUGAACGACACCAAAAAACAACAGAGUUCAUAAACACACGAAUCUACAACGUUUUGAUUUGCUGUGCUUCACUUUCAUGAGAGUACUGUCAGCUGUGUGAACCUCAUGCUUUCUCAGCAGUUCAAAUAACGUGGAUUUUAACAUUUUAUUUUAUAUAUUUGUUUUCUCCAGUUUUGUUUUGUUUUCAAUCCGGCACAUUUUGCUCUAAUUAUGAAGAUCAGGGUAUUUUUGUGAGAUGAAACUGAUCUUUGAUGCAUAUUGACGUAAAAAGGCACAUCCCAUCCUGUUGUGUGUUCUUUCUUUUCUCUUACUAUGUUCAUUGUGACGGUUAUGCACCAAAUAUGUUUGUCAAAACCUACUUGGAGGUUGCUUAAGAUCAAUGUGUUUUGUUUUAGUAGUUGCUGAAGAAUAAAACAGGUUUUAUAAACUCGAGGGCACACAGCACUGCUUCUAAUCUCAGAUUCAGACUGAUGUGAUGUUGGGUUUUUCUUUCCCGAUGGUGCUCUUCCAUCACAACACUCUAGCAAAAGCUAUUCGAUACUCACAACGACGCCCCUCUUCUCCAGCUCCUGGUAGACCUUUCUGAUGGGGAUGUGGAUGGGGAAG